rnacentral:rRNA from 1 species
UACGAAGGGGGCUAGCGUUGUUCGGAAUUACUGGGCGUAAAGCGCACGCAGGCGGAUUUAUAAGUCAGGGGUGAAAUCCCGGGGCUCAACCUCGGAAUUGCCCUUGAUACUGUCUAUCUUGAGUCCGGGAGAGGUGAGUGGAAUUCCUAGUGUAGAGGUGAAAUUCGUAGAUAUUAGGAAGAACACCAGUGGCGAAGGCGGCUCACUGGCCCGGUACUGACGCUCAUGUGCGAAAGCGUGGGGGGCAAACAGG